GUGCUUGCUUCCACAGCACAGAUACUAAAAUUAGAACGAUACAAAGAAGAAUAGCGUGACCUCUAUGCAAGGAUGACACGCAAAUUUGUGAAGCAUUCCAUAUUUUU
ensembl:snRNA U6 U6 spliceosomal RNA